GAUUGAACGCUGGCGGCAUGCCUAACACAUGCAAGUCGAACGGGAGUAGCAAUACUCUAGUGGCGGACGGGUGAGGAAUACGUAGGAAUUUGCCCUUAAGUGGGGGAUAACCCGGGGAAACCCGGAUUAAUACCGCAUGAUCUCGAAAGAGCAAAGUGGGGGAUCNCAAGACCUCACGCUUUUGGAGAAGCCUACGUCGGAUUAGCUAGUUGGUGGGGUAAUGGCCUACCAAGGCGACGAUCCAUAGCUGGUCUGAGAGGAUGAUCAGCCACACUGGGACUGAGACACGGCCCAGACUCCUACGGGAGGCAGCAGUGGGGAAUAUUGGACAAUGGGCGAAAGCCUGAUCCAGCCAUGCCNNNUGAGUGAUGAAGGCCCUAGGUUGUAAGCUCUUCAACGUGAGUA
rnacentral:rRNA from 1 species